CCUUAAGAACAUUUUUUCUCUCGGGGUGAUCUCCAUUUGACCAACACAUAAAAAGUUAGGUCUCAGUGCAUUUCAAAAUAGUCAGAUGAAUUGACUAAUCAACUUCUCAAGUCCACUCCUCAUAUCUUGAUGAAUUGAUGAUUGAGGACACUAAAAUAAGUUCAAAUAUGCACGAAAUGAUGAAUUAAAGAACUUCCCUUAAUUGUAUUUGACCAUGGGCUGAGGUUGCUUCAAGAGCAAGACACAGUUGAUGAACAUAUGAAUUAGGGUUUCCUUGGGAAACAAGCCUCAAACCCCUUGACUUGCUUUGAUCAAAAUGAUGAAUUGAGAUACUUGGGAGGCAUAUUUGAUGGGUGAGAGUUUUGGGAACCAUUUCCAUGCUUGCUUUCAUCUUCU
rnacentral:lncRNA from 1 species